UGCACGAUGUCAUCAAGGAAAAGUGCCAA
rnacentral:piRNA from 1 species